rnacentral:rRNA from 1 species
CCUACGGGUGGCAGCAGUAGGGAAUAUUGCUCAAUGGGGGAAACCCUGAAGCAGCAACGUCGCGUGGAGGAUGACGGCUUUCGGAUUGUAAACCUUUUUUGUUAGAGAAGAAAAUGACGGUACCUAACGAAUAAGCACCGGCUAACUUCGUGCCAGCAGCCGCGGUAAUACGGCGGGGGCAAGCGUUAUUCGGAUUAACUGGGCGUAAAGGGAGCGUAGGCGGGUUUGGAAGUCAGGUGUGAAAGCCUGCGGCUUAACCAUAGAACUGCAUUUGAAACUGUUAGUCUUGAGUAUAGGAGAGGUAGGCGGAAUUCUUGGUGUAGCGGUGAAAUGCGUAGAUAUCAAGAGGAACACUGAUUGCGAAGGCAGCCUGCUAGAACGUAACUGACGUUGAUGCGCGAAAGCGUGGGGAGCAAACAGGAUUAGAUACCCUUGUAGUC